ensembl:lncRNA
GAAAGAAAAUUCAAUGCUUGGGAAUGGAACGGGGAGAUGGGAGCAUCAUCCCUGCGUCCACCCGAGCGCCGUGGGGCGGCCGCCCGCGGGCACAGCGCUGCCCGCCCCGGCCCCAAAGUUGGGACCGACCCCGCGGCCAAUGGAGCGAGCGGUGGGGAUGGACGGUGCGACCGAAAGCAACGAGGGGUCUCUUUAAAAUUCCCAUCCACUUCAGAUGUCUAAAGUAAGAUUGUGAUGAUUUUGUCACGGUUUGGUAAAUUUACCCCUUUAAGAGGCUUUCAUAAAUCCCAGAACACACCUUCAGCCAGAUUUGAAUAUAGAUUUAGGUUUUAAAACCCAGAAGCUGGGAACACCGCUUUAUCAAAGAGAAUUUCCCUUUAGCUUAGCGAUGUGUCGGAAUGGCUCUCGCAAAGAUCGGAUCGGAGAGGGGGAAAAAUAGGGGGAAGCCUUCAUCCCGGAGCGAUCCUACACGCACUUUGCAGCCGCAUUCCGCCUUCAGCCUCAGGAAAAGUUGCCCCCAAACAAGCAAAAAAAAAAAGAAAAAAAAAAAAGUGGCAGCCGUAGGAACUGUUUUUUUUUUUUAAUUACUAUUUUAUUUUUAAUUAUUUUUUAAGGAAGGGAAAAAGAAAAAAAAACCAACAAAAACAACCAAACAAAACAGCCAAUGCGACCAAACCCCUUUCCGACCUCCUGCGCUCCGUUCGGAUAGCAGCUCCGGGCAGGUAUACAGAGCCGCACUAACUCGGGCUCAACGGGGAGCGACUUUUGUGCUCAGAGAACCCCCAGAUCAGCUCCCGGGAUGGAAAGGAACUGUAACUUCUGCUGCUCAGGUCUGUGGGAGGCUGGUCCCUCUUUGAACAUCUGGAGUGGUGUGUGGCUGCAUUCAUUGGAAGAGGAACCCCACGUGGAAAACCAGGGCCAGAGCUAAAGGCAGGAUUCAACUCCUCUUCACCCUUGAUGUGCUGGCCCAGCUCCAAGGAGAUGCUAAGGUAGCAGCUCAUACAACUCUGCUGGCUUUGGAAGGGAGCUUGGGAGUCCCCAGAUCCUUCUUGUUCGUGUAUUGGCUCCAGUCUCAUCACUUACAUGGAGAUUUGCUUGCAGAGCUAGAGAUCACUUUAUUCCUUUACCUCUUAUCCCUGCCUGAGAACAUUCGUUCUUGUUCACGCACGCUCCCCAUUCCUGUCCAUCUGAGGCUGCCCUGCACCAAGCCAGCUGCUGGCCCUUUGCAUGCCUGGGAGGGGGACAAAUCCAGGGGUGACUUCUGCAAGAUGCAGGAGGUGCAGCACCUUGGAGAGGUGAAAGAAACCAUUUGCCUUUCCCACUUUCAAUGUAAGAUGAAAGAAAAAAGCUACAGUGCG